rnacentral:rRNA from 1 species
GAGUUUGAUCCUGGCUCAGAUUGAACGCUGGCGGCGUGGCUAAAGCAUGCAAGUCGAGCGAACCCGCAAGGGUGAGCGGCGAAAGGGUUAGUAAUACGAUCGAACGUGCCCCGAGGCGGGGGAUAGCGGCGGGAAACUGCCGGUAAUACCCCAUAAUCUCUCCGGAGCAAAGGUUUACCACCUUGGGAUCGGCGAUCGUCCUAUCAGCUAGUUGGCGGGGUAACGGCCCACCAAGGCGAUGACGGGUAGCGGGUGUGAGAGCACGACCCGCAACAUCGGGACUGAGACACUGCCCGGACUCCUACGGGAGGCUGCAGCGACGAAUCUUCCGCAAUGGGCGCAAGCCUGACGGAGCGACGCCGCGUGUGGGAUGAAGCGCCUUCGGCGUGUAAACCACUGUCAAGGGGUAGAACCAACGAUCACCCCUAAAGGAACGAGACGGCUAACUCUGUGCCAGCCGCCGCCGUAAC